CUAUAAUUUGGGCGCGGAGAAACCGGAUCUGUAUAUGGGCACUUGGAUCCGGCGGAGCGACUAGUGCAACCGACCACUUUCAAC
rnacentral:ncRNA from 1 species